rnacentral:rRNA from 1 species
UACGAAGGGUGCAAACGUUGCUCGGAAUCAUUGGGCGUAAAGCGCACGUAGGCGGCUUUGCAAGUCGGAUGUGAAAUCCCUCGGCUCAACCAAGGAAGUGCAUCCGAAACUGCAGAGCUUGAGUACUUAAGAGGAUCGCGGAAUUCCCGGUGUAGAGGUGAAAUGCGUAGAUAUCGGGAGGAACACCUGAGGCGAAGGCGGGCUACUGGGCUGAUACUGACGCUGAGGCGCGAAAGCUAGGGGAGCAAACGGG